rnacentral:rRNA from 1 species
AGAGUUUGAUCCUGGCUCAGGACGAACGCUGGCGGCGUGCCUAACACAUGCAAGUCGAGCGGAGACAGUGAGUAGCUUGCUAUGAGCUGUUUUAGCGGCGGACGGGUGAGUAACGCGUGAGCAACCUUUCCCAGACAGGGGAAUAACACACCGAAAGGUGUACUAAUACCGCAUAAGACCACGGUUUCACAUGGAACUGAGGUAAAAGAUUUAUCGGUUUGGGGUGGGCUCGCGUCCGAUUAGGUAGUUGGUGAGGUAACGGCCCACCAAGCCGACGAUCGGUAGCCGACCUGAGAGGGUGAUCGGCCACAUUGGGACUGAGACACGGCCCAAACUCCUACGGGAGGCAGCAGUGGGGAAUAUUGCACAAUGGGCGAAAGCCUGAUGCAGCAACGCCGCGUGAGUGAAGAAGUAUCUCGGUAUGUAAAGCUCUAUCAGCAGGGAAGAAAAUGACGGUACCUGACUAAGAAGCCCCGGCUAACUACGUGCCAGCAGCCGCGGUAAUACGUAGGGGGCAAGCGUUGUCCGGAAUAAUUGGGCGUAAAGGGCGCGUAGGCGGCUCGGUAAGUCUGGAGUGAAAGUCCUGCUUUUAAGGUGGGAAUUGCUUUGGAUACUGUCGGGCUUGAGUGCAGGAGAGGUUAGUGGAAUUCCCAGUGUAGCGGUGAAAUGCGUAGAGAUUGGGAGGAACACCAGUGGCGAAGGCGACUAACUGGACUGUAACUGACGCUGAGGCGCGAAAGUGUGGGGAGCAAACAGGAUUAGAUACCCUGGUAGUCCACACUGUAAACG